UACGUAGGGGGCAAGCGUUGUCCGGAAUCACUGGGCGUAAAGGGCGCGUAGGUGGCGGGCCAAGUCCAUGGUGAAAGCUCGAUGCUCAACAUCGAGUCGGCCACGGAUACUGGUUUGCUGGAGCACUGUAGAGGCAGAUGGAAUUCCGGGUGUAGCGGUGGAAUGCGCAGAUAUCAGGAGGAACACCUAUAGCGAAGGCAGCUUGCUGGGACGUUACUGACGCUAAGGCGCGAAAGCGUUGGGAGCGAACAGG
rnacentral:rRNA from 1 species